ensembl:lncRNA novel transcript
CUCUCUCUGCAGACCACCGGCUAGAGCAGGAGCACGAGCUCUUCCGCUGUUUCCAGGAUCCCUGCCGGCUGGGCACGCGCCAAAAGCAGCCCUGGGCCCUGGGGACCGCGCUGAGCACCUCCGUGCUCCACCAGUCCAUGGCCUCCUCCCCCAAGAUGCCGAGGCGGUGAGUUGCGACCUGGAUGUAGGCACUGCCCGCCCGAAGCGCGCGGAGGGGCCCUGGCCUUGAUGACACCGCCCCCCUACCAGGGCCCUGGAGCAGGAGAAAGGGCGCCACCUCUACCUGGCCGGCCUUCCCGGCAGAAGCCGCCGAGCUAAGCCCUGGAGAGGUCGGCGCCUGGACUACAUCACGUACCGCGGAGUUCCCGGGUGGCUGGGCCUGCGGCACUGGGACGACCCUCAACCUGACUCCCGCCCCCAGGAGGUGGAGCAGGUGACGUUCAGUACCGCCCUGGAGGGGCUCACGGACCACCGGGCAGUGCGCCUGCAGCUCCGAGUCUCAGUGUCCUCCUAAGGCAAGCACAGAUGAGGGGCGCGCGGCUGGCGCGCACAGACACGACUCGGAGCACGAACUAGGCGCCGUAGCUGCGUCCCCAGAACCGGGAGACUUAAGGCAUCUUUAUUGCGGGAUCCUCACACGGCCUCCUGGGCCCGGCGAUACUCAUAGACGCUGCCGUGCUCGGGAAAGGCCAGUGCUUGCGGGGGCGACCCCGGCGGUGGGGCGGGGUCCUCCGGGUCCCCAUAGCCACCGCCGCCGGGCGUGUGGAGACAGAACACAUCCUGUUGGCGCGGGGGGGGGCGGGGAGGCGGGCUCAGUGCAGGCGUGGCCCCUCCCUGUCACCUGCGCAGUCCCCUCCCCACCGGGCAGCGUCCAUCACCCGCCCCCAUGGACCACGGAGGCCCGGUACGCGCCCCCUUUCCUUCCGGGGCCAAAUUAAACUCGGCCUCUGGUCAGGUCUGCAA